rnacentral:misc_RNA from 1 species
CGGCUCUAUUCGGUGGGCCUGGUCACCGACGGGAACUACUCAACUAACCUUUCGCUGUUAUCUUACGCGUUCCGAAAAGUCGCCAUUUUUAACCGUCAACGAUCUGCACAAUCUUCUUUUCAAGCCUCAUCCUCCUUUCUCCAUUUUCAAAAUUUGAUUCAGGUAAACCUUCUCUUUCUGUAGAUUGCUGUGGUUCUAUCUCGAAUGAAAAUUGAUCAUGAAAUGCCCAAGUAAAGAUUAAAACUUUGUACCAAUUAGUGUUGUUUUCAGCUAUAGAUUGAUUCUUCCUUGUAAACUUUGAAGAGCAAUGCCAUUGUUUCAAUUCCUGCUUGUAGUAGUUUUGGUCUGGAAUUCCCUGGAAAAUGGGAGUGCUGGGAUCACCAGUACUUUUAUUCGCUCCGAAUGGCCAUCUACUGAUAUCCCACUUGACAAUCAAGUAUUUGAAAUUCCGAAAGGUCAUAUUGCCCCACAGCAAGUGCAUAUCACUCAAGGGGACUAUGAUGGUAAGGCUGUGAUUAUCUCUUGGGUUACGGCUGAUGAAACGGGUCUUAGUAUUGUGAAAUAUGGUAUAUUGGUGAACAAAUAUGAGUUUAGUGCUCAGGGAACUGUAACCAAUUACACCUUUUCCAACUAUAAGUCUGGCUAUAUUCAUCACUGCCUUGUUGAUAGCCUUGAGUAUGACACCAAGUACUAUUACAAGAUUGGAGAGGGUGAUUCUUCUCGCGAAUUUUGGUUCCGAACACCUCCAAAGAUAGAUCCAGAUGCUCCCUACACUUUUGGUAUUAUUGGUGAUUUGGGUCAAACAUAUAAUUCUCUUUCCACUCUCGAGCAUUACGUGCAGAGUGGUGGACAGACUGUCUUAUUUGUUGGUGAUCUCUCAUAUGCUGAUAGAUAUCAAUACAAUGAAGUUGGUAUUAGAUGGGACUCAUGGGGCCGUUUUGUUGAGCGUAGUGCUGCAUAUCAACCAUGGAUUUGGUCUGCUGGGAAUCAUGAGAUAGAGUACAUGCCAGAAAUGGGGGAGGUCCUUCCAUUUAAAUCAUAUCUGCAUAGAUUUGCUACUCCUCAUGCUGCUUCAAAAAGUAGCAAUCCUCUUUGGUAUGCUGUACGGCGAGCAUCUGCUCACAUCAUUGUCCUCUCCAGCUAUUCUUCUUAUGGUAAUAUACUGUUUGCUAUUGCUAGCCUGUUUUGGUUGCAAGUACCUUCUCUGCUCCUAAUCAUUAUUGACAUUCAUCCACAUAAAAUUGCAGAGUUUCUAUUUUGGUUCACUUUGCUGUCGAUUAUUUUUAAUUAUAAGUCAUCUUUCUUUGUGGAUAUCAAGAAUUUGCUAAAAUUUUUGAACCAGUAAAAUAUACUCCUCAAUGGAGAUGGCUUAGAGAAGAGUUGAAAAGGGUAGACAGGGAGAAGACACCUUGGCUUAUUGUUCUCAUGCAUGUGCCUAUCUACAAUAGUAACUUAGCCCACUAUAUGGAAGGUGAAAGUAUGCGUUCUGUGUUUGAGAGCUGGUUUGUCUGCUUCAAAGUUGACCUCGUUUUUGCAGGCCAUGUCCAUGCCUAUGAAAGAUCAGUAAGUAUAUUCUCUCGUCAUUUUCACAGUUUUGGAGGAAAAAAAAAAUGACAGCUAUCACAGCAAAUGAAGGAAGAGUACAAAUUGUAUUCUCGCAAUACCACAUGUCAUCUUAAAACAUCAACGGAGCACUUUCAUUGAGGGAAAAAUUUCAUUGCAUGUUAUAGGAUGAGCAAGUUCUUUUAAGUAUAUAUUUGGAGAUUGCAAACCAGCACCCAGUUCUCUUACAUUCAUCAUUUUCUCUGACAUGACUUCUGGGUUAAAGAAAGCAUUAUACUUCCAACAAAUUCAUCAUAUUCCAACAAUUGCACUCCAAGAAUUAAUCAACAUAGAAAUGGUAGCAAAAACAUCACAUUUGGCUGCUCUCUUUUAUUUUGUGUAGCCAAGAUGCUCCCAAAGUGCCUCAAACUGAGGAAAUUCAUGGAGCUGCAAACCCUCAUAUCUCUAGUAACAUGGCUUUGAAAAACUUGCCAAUUUUCUUAGCACACAACACACAUAAUCUGUCAUCAUGCUAUUCUGAAAUUUGUUGGCAAGUUUUUGUUUUAUCUCAUAAAAGAGUGAAUGCUAUUUGCAGUAUCGUAUCUCAAACAUACACUAUAAUGUGUCAAGCGGUGACCGAUAUCCUAUACCUGACAAAUCAGCGCCAGUGUACAUAACUGUUGGAGAUGGUGGA